rnacentral:pre_miRNA from 13 species
ACGAAUGGCUAUGCACUGCACAACCCUAGGAAGGGGUGCCAUUCACAUGGACUAUAAUUGAAUGGCGCCACUAGGGUUGUGAAGUGUACAACCUACAC